GUGCGCUUCUGGAUCUGGUGGCAGUCGGCUGUGGUCCUCCACAUUUUCGCUAUCCUGCGCGGCGAGGACGACAGCGGACAGAUCAGACGGACGUGAUUUGACUUUGCUUCUGAUUCGGUGGAUCCCCACCGUACGAGAAUCAACUGUAUUCUUUUCCCUAUUCAAUUCAAUGAUGCAAUAAUGGUCACUCAUCCCUGAUGCAAUUCGACAUGAUCAAAUAAUGGAGAUAGAUGCGAGGCAAGUGACAAAAAAGAACAAGAUGUCAGAUAAAGAUUAGUUCUUGGUGCAUUCCUUACCCAUGUGAGAUUGAGUAUGCAAAACUGAUCAGCUUUUACUAAAGAGCAUACAAUAUGUUGAAUGCAUGCCAUCAUUACUUCCAUUAGUCUCUUUGCAAAAACCUAGUGUUUGAAAAAUUCAUCUUCAGAAAUUUCUUGUUUGUUUGCUUGCUGUUGUGUGCUUGAUCUAACAAUAGCUUUCUUCUGUCUAUUUAAAUUGAGGAAAAGAAUAAGAUGAACUUAUUUAUAGGUAUAUGGGUACUAUGAAAUAAUGAAAUGAACUUCUUCUGAAGAAAUUUUGCUCUUCUACACUAAAUUGGGAAUGGUUUGCCUAAGCAGAGCAACUGAUCUGUCAUACUUGAUGAAGGUUCUUUACUGUGCAUGUCUUGGCUUCUCAUUUGCUUGUAUUUCCUCUCAAAUGCUAUUCUUAUGCGUUCUCCAGCCUGCGAAGGACGUAAAACAUGAUCUUACAUAAAUAGCAAUUUCAUCAAUUGGAUGGAGGCAAAAUCAAUGCUGCUAUCAUAACCAUCACAUCCUGAACUGGGAAAGGCAUUACAUAAUCUAGAAGAGGAUGAGCGCGACGAUGCAGACCGGAAAAGAGCAAUUGGAUUCAUCAUUUUUACUGUCGAAGGAAUGCAGAGUUAAAUGGAUCCCCCAUCUUUUUCUCAUAUUGGUUGAAAGGAAUGCCCAGCAUUUCGGGGCUCAAUUUCUUCACGGGCAUGAAUGGAGGCAGAGUGAACGUGUCCGGAAAAGUGUCAGGUUGCUCAUCUACAUCAACAAAAUUGCAAAGGGCAUCGGAGACUCGCUUUAGCGACUGAAUAGCUGGACAGCCUCCUCAUCUUCCAACCUCGAAGCCGAGCAUCCCAUCUCUUCAAGACUGUCUAGGAAUGUUUCAGAUUGAAACCACAAUUUUGCAAGCCGAAGGAAAGAAGAUGAUAUCUGUUUGAGAAGCUCUCCUGAGGUAUGAGGAUUGAAAGAACUUGCGACAGUGGAGGUAACUUUAUAUCCCCUUUGGAUCUGCUCUCUCAGCAAAGAAAAUUCAGUCAGCAGAAACCCUUCUCCAGACUGAACCUUGGGAUCAAGGUAAUCGAGAGAGAGGCUGCAGAAGAUAAAAAAGGGAGGGGCAACGGUCAAAUGAUCUAAAAGAGAAGCACAGCGCAACACGGCGCAUAUAAGGAUGGAGGAAGGAGAGUACAACUUCGACGGG